GCAGCAAUAGCUCACCGGUAGAGCCCCGCUUCCCGCGCGGGGAGACCCGGGUUCGAUUCCUGGCUGCUUCC
rnacentral:tRNA from 1 species